AUUGAACGCUGGCGGCAGGCCUAACACAUGCAAGUCGAACGAGUGGCGGACGGGUGAGUAAUGUCUGGGAAACUGCCUGAUGGUGGGGGAUAACUACUGGAAACGGUAGCUAAUACCGCCUACCAUCCGAUCUCCCCAGAUGGGAUUGGCUUGUUGGUGGGGUAACGGCUAACCAAGGCGACGAUCCCUAGCUGUUCUGAGAGGAUGACCAGCGCAGCUGGAAAUGAGACACGGUCCAGAGUCCUCCGGUAGGGAGCAGUGGGGAAGAUUGCACAACGGGCGCAAGUCUGAUGCAGCGAUGCCGCGUGUAGUAAGAAGGCCUUCGGGUUGUAAAGUACUUUUGGCGGGGAGACGUUACCUGCAGAAGAAGAACCGGCUAACGCCGUGCCAGCAGCCGCGGUAAUAC
rnacentral:rRNA from 1 species